ACCUUCAAACUAGCCUGAUCACCCAACCCAAUUUAACCUUAUAAACUACAUAAAUAUAUCAACUCACCAUUAAAACAUUUUAAUAUCUUAAGUAUGGGCGAUAGAAAAAGACAACCAGCGCAAUAGUUUUAGUACCGCAAGGAAAAGUUGAAAAAGAAAUGAAACAAAUUAUCAAAGUACAAAAAAGCAGAGAUUUAAACUCGUACCUUUUGCAUCAUGAUUUAGCUAGAUAAACUAGGCAAAAAGACCUUAAGUCUAACUCCCCGAAACUAAACGAGCUACUUCGAAGCAGCACAACCAAGAGCUAACCCGUUUCUGUGGCAAAAGAAUGGGAAGACUUCCAAGUAGCGGUGAUAAACCUACCGAGUUUAGUGAUAGCUGGUUACCUGAAAAAAGAAUUUUAGUUCUGCAUUAAUUUUUUAUCACUAAACAAGACUAUCUCAUUAAAGUGUAACAUAAAAAUUAAAAGUUAUUUAAAAGAGGUACAGCCCUUUUAAACCAAGGUACAACUUUAAACGGUGGGUAUUGAUCAUAAUUAAAAAGAUUACCUCCCCAGUAGGCCUAAAGGCAGCCACCUGAAAAGCCAGCGUCACAGCUCCAGUUUUAAAAAUUCCACAAUACCGAUAAACUAUCAUAACCCCCAAAUUUUACAUCAGGUUAUUUUAUAUAUAAAUAUAAAAGAACUUAUGCUAAGAUGAGUAAUAGGAGGUCAAACCUCUCCUAACAUAAGUGUAAACCAGAAAGAAUUAAAUCACUGAUAAUUAAACGAACCUAUUGAAGUUAUUAUAUUAACAGAUAAUAAACCAGACAAACCUAUUCAAUAACUCGUUAACCCCACACAGGAAUGUUACAAGGAAAGAUUUAAAGAAAAUAAAGGAACUCGGCAAACACAAACUCCGCCUGUUUACCAAAAACAUCGCCUCCUGCCCAAACUAUAGGAGGUCCAGCCUGCCCUGUGAUAAUACUUUAACGGCCGCGGUAUCUUGACCGUGCGAAGGUAGCGUAAUCAUUUGUCUUUUAAAUGAAGACCUGUAUGAAAGGCAUCACGAGAGUUUAACUGUCUCUAUUUUCUAAUCAAUGAAAUUGAUCUUCCCGUGCAGAAGCGGGAAUAAACACAUUAGACGAGAAGACCCUAUGGAGCUUAAAACACUUAAAUUAAUUAUGUAAUCACAUUACAUCCUAAGGACAAAAACAAACAAUACAAUACUCCUAAUUUAACAUGUUUUUGGUUGGGGCGACCAAGGAGAAAAACAAAUCCUCCUUAUCGACUAAGUAUUAUAUACUCAAAAAUUAGAAUGACAAUUCUAAAUGAUAAAACAUUUAUCGAAAGACGACCCAGGAAAUUCUUAACCUGAGCAAUGAACCAAGUUACCCUAGGGAUAACAGCGCAAUCCUUUCUCAGAGUCCCUAUCGACGAAAGGGUUUACGACCUCGAUGUUGGAUCAGGACAUCCUAAUGGUGCAACCGCUAUUAAGGGUUCGUUUGUUCAACGAUUAACAGUCCUACGUGAUCUGAGUUCAGACCGGAGAAAUCCAGGUCAGUUUCUAUCUAUGAAAAAUUUUUUCUAGUACGAAAGGACCGAAAAAAUAGAGCCAAUACUCCAAGCACGCUCUACUCUCAUCUAUUGAAACAAACUCAAAUAGAUAAGAAAGAAACAUCCAUCCACCCAAAAAAAGGGUAGUU
rnacentral:rRNA from 1 species